GACGAACGCUGGCGGCGUGCUUAACACAUGCAAGUCGAACGGAAAGGCCCUGCUUUUGUGGGGUGCUCGAGUGGCGAACGGGUGAGUAACACGUGAGUAACCUGCCCUUGACUUUGGGAUAACUUCAGGAAACUGGGGCUAAUACCGGAUAGGAGCUCCUGCUGCAUGGUGGGGGUUGGAAAGUUUCGGCGGUUGGGGAUGGACUCGCGGCUUAUCAGCUUGUUGGUGGGGUAGUGGCUUACCAAGGCUUUGACGGGUAGCCGGCCUGAGAGGGUGACCGGCCACAGUGGGACUGAGAUACGGCCCAGACUCCUACGGGAGGCAGCAGUGGGGAAUAUUGCACAAUGGGCGGAAGCCUGAUGCAGCAACGCCGCGUGCGGGAGGACGGCCUUCGGGUUGUAAGCCGCUUUCGCCUGUGACGAAGCGUGAGUGACGGUAAUGGGUAAAGAAGCACCGGCUAACUACAUG
rnacentral:rRNA from 1 species